rnacentral:lncRNA from 10 species
AUCAGUCGUGGUGACUGCCCUGGUUGCACUGUAAGUAUGGGGGGACGUCUCCACGAAAAAAAACUAACUUUCUGCCUUGUGCUCUGCAGGUCCCUCCUUCUCCCACCUUCCCCAAGUAGCUGCUCCUGACCCCCCCACACACCUUGGCAAACGACACCAGUGGCCGAUAGCAACUGGUGUUUUAAAAAUACUAAUUUGGAGCCCCAUUUGAGACCUACAACGGGAGAGUCUGCAUCAGAUUCGGCCUCAGAUUCUACAGCAUCUGACUACAUUCCCAGUAGGUUGUGACAGUUGGAAGUGUCAUGUACAACAUGCGGCGAUUAAGUCUUUCACCCACCUUUUCAAUGGGAUUUCAUCUGUUAGUUACUGUGAGUCUCUUAUUUUCCCAUGUGGACCAUGUAAUUGCUGAGACAGAAAUGGAAGGAGAAGGAAAUGAAACUGGUGAAUGUACUGGAUCAUAUUACUGUAAGAAAGGGGUGAUUUUGCCCAUUUGGGAACCCCAAGACCCUUCUUUUGGGGACAAAAUUGCUAGAGCUACUGUGUAUUUUGUGGCCAUGGUCUAC